rnacentral:tRNA from 1 species
CGCAAUUUGAGAUUCAAAUUUACGAAUCAUUCAUGAAUUAUAUAUACGAAUCAUUCAUGAAUUAUAUAAUAGUUAACGGUUCCAGUUUGUGCUGAAUUUUUUCUUUUAUGACUGAAAAAUCAAAAUUUUGUUUUUCACUAGAAAAGUAAGGGAAAUUUUUAGAGAUUGUAUGGUUUUAAGAUACUAUACAAUCAAUCGAAGGGAUGGAUCCAACUCAAACAAAAAAGAAAGAUUUCUUUUAGAAAAGGAAUUAAGGAAAACGGGAUUAAGAUUCAAAAUACAAGUACAAUAAAUAAGAAGACAAAAGGAUAAUUUUUUGAUAGAUUUUGAUUUGGUAUCGUUUUGGCGGCAUGGCCGAGCGGUAAGGCGGGGGACUGCAAAUCCUUUUUCCCCAGUUCAAAUCCGGGUGUCGCCUAAUCACCAAAAGAAUUGACAUACCUUCUUCUGUUUUGCUGAUAGAAUUGGGGAAAUUUUUCCGGCGGAAGCAAACGGAGGAAACUGAUAAAUCGUGAUAGUCCUUCCAUUACUAACGGAGUGUCUACGGGCCG